rnacentral:rRNA from 1 species
AGGACGAAACGCUGGCGGCGUGCUUAACACAUGCAAGUCGAGCGGAAAGGCCCUUCGGGGUACUCGAGCGGCGAACGGGUGAGUAACACGUGAGCAACCUGCCCUUAGCUUCGGGAUAGCUCCGGGAAACCGGAAUUAAUACCGAAUAUGACUUUGGCUGACAUCAGCAGAAGUGGAAAGUUUUUCGGCUAGGGAUGGACUCGCGGCCUAUCAGCUAGUUGGUGAGGUAACGGCCCACCAAGGCGACGACGGGUA